rnacentral:rRNA from 1 species
UACAUAGGUGGCGAACGUUAUCCGGAAUCAUUGGGCGUAAAGGGUGCGUAGGAGGGCAGGUAAGUCAGUGGUGAAAUCCCCAAGCUUAACUUGGGAACUGCCAUUGAUACUAUCUGUCUUGAAUACCGUGGAGAUGAGCGGAAUAUGUCAUGUAGCGGUGAAAUGCUUAGAUAUGACAUAGAACACCAAUUGCGAAGGCAGCUCGUUACACGAAUAUUGACUCUGAGGCACGAAAGCGUGGGGAUCAAACAGG